rnacentral:lncRNA from 1 species
UCUUCGUCUUGUGUGGGCAUCCAUUCAACAAUGAACUGUGCUAGUGCUCUACUCUGGAUGGUGGAAGUGCUUUCGUACUUCAACCCAAAACUUGAUAGCUCCAGCGCCCACUCGACUAUCCUGCAUGUGGCAUCGGGGUUCCUCAGGAUGCGCUUUAGUGGAAAACGGGGGACAACCGUGACCUCAUGGGCUUGGAAGUAGUGGCGCAGCGUCUUCGAGGCCAUGAUGAGGCUGAAGAUCAGCUUUUGUACUCCAGAGUACCUUGACCUAGGCCCUUGUAACAGGUAGCUGACAAAGUACACUGGCCGAUGUACCACUUUCUUCUUCGCUAGCUCUUUGGUAU